AUUGAACGCUGGCGGCACGCCUAACACAUGCAAGUCGAGCGGCAGCGAGACUAGUAGCAAUACUAGUUGUCGGCGAGCGGCGGACGGGUGAGUAAUGCCUAGGAAUCUGCCUGUUAGUGGGGGAUAACGCGGGGAAACUCGCGCUAAUACCGCAUACGUCCUACGGGAGAAAGCGGGGGCUCUUCGGACCUCGCGCUAACAGAUGAGCCUAGGUCGGAUUAGCUAGUUGGUGGGGUAAUGGCCCACCAAGGCGACGAUCCGUAACUGGUCUGAGAGGAUGAUCAGUCACACUGGAACUGAGACACGGUCCAGACUCCUACGGGAGGCAGCAGUGGGGAAUAUUGGACAAUGGGCGAAAGCCUGAUCCAGCCAUGCCGCGUGUGUGAAGAAGGUCUUCGGAUUGUAAAGCACUUUAAGUCGGGAGGAAGGGCUGUAGGCUAAUACCUUGCAGUUUUGACGUUACCGACAGAAUAAGCACCGGCUAACUUCGUGGCAGCCGCCGCCGUAA
rnacentral:rRNA from 1 species